rnacentral:rRNA from 1 species
CCUACGUGUGGCAGCAGUGAGGAAUAUUGGUCAAUGGCCGGAAGGCUGAACCAGCCAUGCCGCGUGAAGGUCAGUGCCCUAUGGGUUGUAAACUUCUUUUAUAAAGGAAUAAAACGAGGCACGUGUGCCUUUUUGCAUGUACUUUAUGAAUACGGAUCGGCUAACUCCGUGCCAGCAGCCGCGGUAAUACGGAGGAUCCGAGCGUUAUCCGGAUUUAUUGGGUUUAAAGGGAGCGUAGAUGGGUUGUUAAGUCAGUUGUGAAAGUUUGCGGCUCAACCGUAAAAUUGCAAUUGAUACUGGAAGUAUUGAGUACAGUUGAGGUAGGCGGAAUUCGUGGUGUAGCGGUGAAAUGCUUAGAUAUCACGAAGAACCCCGAUUGCGAAGGCAGCUUACUAAACUGUGACUGACAUUGAUGCUCGAAAGUGUGGGUAUCAAACAGGAUUAGAUACCCUUGUAGUC